UGCAAAACCUACACUGAUUUGUCACUUUCUUCCUGCUGUAAAAAGUGCGCAGCCACUGACGGUAAUCCAGCUGCUUGGCAAAUUUUAUCGCCACAACACAACAGCAUGUCUGGGAGCGUUUUACCAAGAACCACAGACUUUUCUUUAGAUGAAAAACAUCUUGAAAUUCAAGCUGCACUGAAGAAUUUUUCAUCCUGUUUCCUAUUUCUCGUUGAUGGAGACUGGUGGAAAGUCUGUGCAGAGGAUUGUGGGAGUACAGAGAACGGUGAAGAGGAAAAAAAAGUUCAGAACUCCAUGCAAAUGAGAAAAAAGGAGGGUGCACACUUCCGUGGCCGCGGGAGGAAGAUGCGCUGUUCGGGGAAAAAGAAGUGGAAGCGCUCUGCCAGCAGUUUUGCAUCAAUGACCCACGACAUGUCAUCAGGGAAUUCAGGGAAAGUAAUGGAGAAUUCAUCCCAGAUGAACUGAAGGGCCUCUUGGCCGCGAUCAACACUGUCCCUAUCUCAAGUGCAGAGUUGCAGCUUCGCCAUCUCACAUCCUACACCACUAAAUCUGAAGAUCCUGGGAAUAAAUCCAUCCUCUGAGAUCCUCACAGCUCCCAGAGUCCUCCUGGAUGAAACAGCAGAUGAAUAAAGAACCUCAGAAGACACAAGCUGCACCGUUUCCAGCCCCCUGUGUGUGUGUGAGCGCCUCUGCUGCUUAUAGAAACUAAUAAACAAUCUCCAGUAACUUGAAGGGAGAGGAUGUGAGAAUGUGAGAGCAGGGAAUUCUGGGUAAUGUAGGCAAACCGUUCGGCAGGAGCAGCAAUAACAUCUCAUCUCAUCUCAUCAUCUCUAUCCUGUUCUACAGGGUCACAGGAGCCUAUC